rnacentral:rRNA from 1 species
GAUGAACGCUGGCGGCGUGCCUAAUACAUGCAAGUCGAGCGAACGGACGAGAAGCUUGCUUCUCUGAUGUUAGCGGCGGACGGGUGAGUAACACGUGGAUAACCUACCUAUAAGACUGGGAUAACUUCGGGAAACCGUAGCUAAUACCGGAUAAUAUUUUGAACCGCAUGGUUCAAAAGUGAAAGACGGUCUUGCUGUCACUUAUAGAUGGAUCCGCGCUGCAUUAGCUAGUUGGUAAGGUAACGGCUUACCAAGGCAACGAUGCAUAGCCGACCUGAGAGGGUGAUCGGCCACACUGGAACUGAGACACGGUCCAGACUCCUACGGGAGGCAGCAGUAGGGAAUCUUCCGCAACGGGCGAAAGCCUGACGGAGCAACGCCGCGUGAGUGAUGAAGGUCUUCGGAUCGUAAAACUCUGUUAUUAGGGAAGAACAUAUGUGUAAGUAACUGUGCACAUCUUGACGGUACCUAAUCAGAAAGCCACGGCUAACUACGU